GAGUUUGAUCGUGGCUCAGGACGAACGCUGGCGGCGUGCUUAACACAUGCAAGUCGAACGGUAAGGCUCCAGCUUGCUGGGGUACACGAGUGGCGAACGGGUGAGUAACACGUGGGUGACCUGCCCUGCACUUCGGGAUAAGCCUGGGAAACUGGGUCUAAUACCGGAUAGGACCGCACCGUGAGGGUGUGGUGGAAAGUUUUUCGUGUGGAGUGGUCCGGCCGGCCGUACUCA
rnacentral:rRNA from 1 species